GUGGAGGGAGGAGAGCACAAUCUGCUGCAUGGAGAGAUGCAAGGGAAAAAGGUCUCACUCUGUUUCCUGGCUGGCUCCCCUCUCCCCCUUUGGAAAUGGGGCUGGACACAGAGCAGGAUCCACCAUGGAUUAUACAGGAGUGAACACAGCCAGAAUCAGCCACUGGCUUGCAGACAAAUGUAUUUUCUUGUUUUGGCCCUGGAGAGGACCUUCUUAUGUACCCUUUUGGAGCAGAGAAGAUUGUCUGAAGCUGGCACCCAGGGAAUAUUGGUCUGUACUUCAUGGUGCUUCUCCUUGCCUUCAUCAGGACAGUUCAGCUUAGCCUGGAGCAAGGAGUUUUCUUCUGCUGUCACCCACCUUGGAGACAUGAGCUAAGCAGCUGAGUCGUGUGACCCAGGCACUGAGAUGCAUUGAAAUUCAUUUGGCAGCUGCUGAGAAAGCAGCAUGAGGGACUCACACUGCCAGAGAGAUGCAUCCUCCUGGGCCAGGCUGGAUGGGCUGGGCUGGAUGGGCUGGAUGGGCUGGAUGGGCUGGGCUGGAUGGGCUGGAUGGGCUGUGCUGGCAUUCCCCGAGCACCUCCUGGACUCUGCUCAAGGCUGUCACGUUUCCCCGGUGCCAGGGAGCGCUGACACAGCGUGCCCAACCUGGCCAAGAGAGGCAGGGCCUCCUGCCCAACGGGGAAUG
rnacentral:lncRNA from 1 species